rnacentral:pre_miRNA from 1 species
GCACCCUCCGUCAUGAUAGGACAAAUGGGCAUCCGACGUGACGUGCCAUGUGUACAAAAAUGACACAUGGUAUAUCACGUGUCAAAAAUGCCACGUGCCACGUGUCAUUUUUGUCCACGUGGCAUGCCAUGUCGGACAUCCGUUUGUCUACCGUGACGGUGGGUGU